rnacentral:rRNA from 1 species
AACGUAGGUGGCAAGCGUUAUCCGGAUUUACUGGGCGUAAAGGGUGUGCAGGCGGGGGUGCAAGUGGUGUCUGAAAUCUCCCGGCUUAACCGGGAGGGGUUAUGCCAGACUGCAAUUCUAGAGGACGAGAGAGGGGGGUGGAAUUCCGGGUGUAGUGGUGAAAUGCGUAGAGAUCCGGAGGAACCCCAGGGGCGAAGGCGGCCCCCUGGCUCGUACCUGACGCUCAGCCACGAAAGCAUGGGGAGCGAACGGG